CUACGACGAUGUUUAAACACGUUGCGUUUGUGCGAGCUGUCGAACAACAAGAGCACGUCGUUGUUGCCUCUCCUCAGCCUACGGCGUUGACUGGCGAGUCUGCUAGGAAGUUCUACGACCACGUUGUAUCGCAACCGUCGACGUCUGUCGACGUCGCCGAGACAACAGUAACGGCGACGACUACAGGCCGAAAUCGUGGACGCCAAACUUCGCUUUGUCAGCCAGUGAAACCACUCAAAGUCAGUGAAUACUUCAUUGCCGCUCAGAGGAACGAUAUCACCAAGCUAGAACAAUGUCUGCGUUCUGGUGUCCGCGUAGACGUUACCGAUAUUUUCGGUUGGACUGCUCUCAUGUGCGCCUCUUGCGAUGGUGCCGCGGCCAGCGUUCGGUACCUCCUAAAAAACGGUGCGAGUAGGCACUUGGCUAAUGCGCAAGGAAAAACCGCCAUCGAACUGGCGGCACAGCGUGGACACGUUGAAGUCGUCGAAGUGCUCUGUAAGCCCGAGAAACUCGCCAAGACUCUGAGCAUUCAGAGCACGGAGCGGCAGGAUGGCGAUUCUAGACGCGAUCCAGCGCAACUGUGCCGCGUAUGCGAUAGGCACUUCAGUUAUUCAGAAAAGAACACUCACGAAGCAUCAAUAGUGCAUCAAUUUAACCUGAGUCGGAAUGGGGCACCGGGUGUGACGCAUUAUGGAAUUUCCGAGAGUAACGCCGGUUUCCAAAUGCUUCUCGGUAUGGGUUGGGACAGAAACAAAGGGUUCGGACAUCGGGAGCAAGGGCGUAAGUUCCCUGUGAAAACUGUGCUAAGGCGAAACCGCAGCGGACUUGGAGCUGAGGUGUCCACGCCCAGGGUGACGCACUUCGCGCCGCACGAUAGAGCUGCCGUUGAAAACGAGUCGCGUCUCGGCGGCACGGCACCGUCGCCGAAGAGGAACCGGAAAGAACAGGAGAGCCAGUCUCAAAGAAUGAAAAUAAUGGAGAUUGAAUUUCGACGGUCCUUCCACUAGUUGCAGCCAAAAAGCACACUUCAAUGAAUCCGACGACAGCACGUGUGAAGCAGUAUCUGGCAGACAUUGAAUCGACUGCCGAGACGAUCCUGGCUGACAAAGAGCAAGUUGUGGAGCUCGACCGACGACGACAAAAGAACAGAGAAGCUCUAAGAGCACUUAAACACUUGGAGGAAGAUAUCCACAGGCCUUGGGUCUGCAUUGGAAACAUGUUCAUGAAAAUUCCAAAGCUUCGAACCAAAGAGCUUCUAGAACAAG